rnacentral:tRNA from 1 species
GCCGUGGUAGCUCAGCUGGUAGAGCAUGCGACUGAAAAUCGCAGUGUCGUCGGUUCAAGUCCGACCCUCGGCACCA